UACAGAGGUCUCAAGCUUUGUUCGGAUUUACUGGGCGUAAAGGGCGCGUAGGCGGUCAGCACAAGUCAGUUGUGAAAUCUCCGGGCUUAACUCGGAAAGGUCAACUGAUACUGUGCGACUAGAGUGCAGAAGGGGCAACUGGAAUUCUCGGUGUAGCGGUGAAAUGCGUAGAUAUCGAGAGGAACACCUGCGGCGAAGGCGGGUUGCUGGGCUGACACUGACGCUGAUGCGCGAAAGCCAGGGGAGCGAACGGG
rnacentral:rRNA from 1 species